UACGUAGGGUGCAAGCGUUACUCGGAAUUAUUGGGCGUAACGAGCUCGUAGGCGGCUCGUCACGUCGGCUGUGAAAUCCCGAGGCUCAACCUCGGGUCUGCAGUCGAUACGGGCGGACUUGAGUACUGCAGGGGAGACUGGAAUUCCUGGUGUAGCGGUGAAAUGCGCAGAUAUCAGGAGGAACACCGGUGGCGAAGGCGGGUCUCUGGGCAGUAACUGACGCUGAGGCACGAAAGCGUGGGGAUCAAACAGG
rnacentral:rRNA from 1 species